rnacentral:ncRNA from 1 species
AAAGAGGAUGGAUUUGACUGCUUGCAACCUCGUAAAAAAAAUGCUAAAA